rnacentral:rRNA from 1 species
GCUAACUCUGUUGGAGGUGCCGCGGUAAGACAUGGGGGGCGGGGUGGGGUCUGAAGUGUGUGGCGGGAAGGUGGCGUAGGCGGCGGUGCAAGGCGCGAGUGAAAUCUGCGGGCUCAACUCGGAGCCGGCUGGGGAAACGUCGGGGCUGUAGUGGGGGAGAGGUGCGUGGAAUUCCCGGGGUAGCGGUGAAAGGCGUAGAUAUCGGGAGGAACACCUGUUGCGAAAGCGGCGCACUGGACCACAACUGACGCUGAGGCGCGAAAGCUAGGGGAGCAAACAGGAUUAGAUACCCUGUUAGUC